rnacentral:rRNA from 1 species
GGGUGAUGACGUUAACCGAGGAAAAAGCCCCGGCUAAUUACGUGCCAGCAGCCGCGGUAACACGUAAGGGGCGAGCGUUGUUCGGAAUUAUUGGGCGUAAAGGGCGCGUAGGCGGCAUAGCAAGUCAGGUGUGAAAGAUCUCAGCUCAACUGAGGAAACGCGCUUGAAACUGCUGUGCUGGAGUCUAGGAGGGGAAGCUGGAAUUCCUAGUGCAGGGGUGAAAUCUGUAGAUAUUAGGAAGAACACCGGUGGCGAAGGCGAGCUUCUGGCCAUAGACUGACGCUGAGGCGCGAAAGCGUGGGGAGCGAACAGGAUUAGAUACCCUGGUAGUCCACGCCGUAAACGAUGUGCACUGGGUGUCGGCCCGUUGGGGUCGGUGCCGAAGCUAACGCGAUAAGUGCACCGCCUGGGGAGUAUGCUCGCAAGGGUGAAACUCAAAAGAAUUGACGGGGGCCCGCACAAGCGGCGGAGCAUGUGGUUUAAUUCGAUGAUACGCGAGAAACCUUACCAGGGCUUGACAUAUGUAGGACAGCGUUGGAGACAACGCCUCUCUUCGGAGCCUAUAUACAGGUGCUGCAUGGCUGUCGUCAGCUCGUGCUGUGAAGUGUUGGGUUAAGUCCCGCAACGAGCGCAACCCCUGCCAUCUGUUGCCAGCAUUUAGGAUGGGGACUCAGAUGGAACUGCCGGUGACAAACCGGAGGAAGGUGGGGACGACGUCAAGUCAUCAUGGCCCUUAUGUCCUGGGCUACACACGUGCUACAAUGAACGGUACAGAGCGCAGCAAGACCGCGAGGUCAAGCAAAUCGCAAAAAGCCGUUCUCAGUACAGAUUGGAGUCUGAAACCCGACUCCAUGAAGGUGGAAUCGCUAGUAAUCGCGCAUCAGCAUGGCGCGGUGAAUACGUUCCCGGGCCUUGUACACACCGCCCGUCACACC